rnacentral:tRNA from 1 species
GCGCCCGUAGCUCAGCCCGGAUAGAGCGCUUGAUUGCGGUUCAAAAGGUCACAGGUUCGAAUCCUGUCGGGCGCACCA